AUGAUCAAGUGCAAAUUCAGUAAAUUCUUUUCAAAUUUGAUAUAGAAAAUGCUUCCUAAGGAUCUGGCUAAGUAUUUUUGGCACAUGUACAGGCUGAUGGAAACCAAAGUCAACGUGCUUCUUCCAGACAACAACAUCAGCCGAGUGGCACCGAAUCAGAACCGAGUUUAAAACGCUAGGUGAUCGAUGCGAUAGGAUUCUGGACACAUACUCAUUCGGGUCAGAAUGUUUUGAAACGUUUUAGUUGAAUAGAUACACAGAUUGUAUAACUACUCAAGAUGCGUUGGCAAUUGCGACGCUGGUACAUAUUAGAAUAUGAUCACACAAAUACAUACAUUUUUCUAGACGACUAUUUUCGCUUUUCUUUUCUGGUUUCAAUUCUGUCAUCUUGGUUCAUUACCUUAAUAUACUGGAAUCCAGCAAUUCAUUCUAUAUUGUUGCAUGAAAUUACAUUACAUUUUUCCUUGA